rnacentral:lncRNA from 1 species
CUGUCUGUCUGUCUAGCACCACAGCUCGGGCGCUGCUGCAGAGGGAAGAAAGAUUUGGGGAGAGGGGCUCAGAGACGGGCUGGGGGUGGGGUCUCCCUGGCUGAUUUUGGCCUGAAAAGGAUAGCUCCUUCGGCUUAGGGACUAGGGCUGGGACUGGGUGACAGGUGGGGAAACAGGCACAGAGAGGGCAGUGCCCAUUCCUGAUGUGGUCUGGAGUGGAGCCUGGGCAGGGUGGUACCACGUGGGUGCUUUAGUCUGUGGGCCACAGAGCCUCGAGACAGAGCACAGAGAGGGAUGGCACGGGGACCCAAGGACCGGGACUGGGAGUCCUUUUACCACCUCCUAGUGGGUGCUCUUAAGUCCAUCGUACGUGUUUCAUGUUCCCCGCGACCGGGGCCCUGCAGAGGCCCAGCCGCCGCUGGACCGCAGGAAGUAUUUAUGAGCACAUCUGUGUGCUGCAAUUGUGUGUCUCUAACGGGGGAGGGGGAGGAGGGGAUUUGGUGGUGAUUAUUUAAGGUAGAGGGCAGCAAGGGGAUGGGGGCAGAAGAAGUGCGGCUCCCGCACGGUUACUGUGCUGCUUGUAUAGGAGAGAGGCACGCCCGCCUCAGGGAUGAGAGCGGGUCGGGACCAGAGGCCUGUGGGUGAUUCUCGGUAUCCGCGGGAAGGGAGCAAAGGGAUCCGAGUGGUUUGCGGUCCUUCAUGGUUUUAUUACACAUCGUAGGAGAAUAAAGAAGUUGUAAUGAUGGCCUUGAGUAGAGCAAUUGUGAGACUGUGCUGGACAAAAGACAGUGAUUAAUCCAGGUCCGCUAACCCAACAUCCGCACACAAAAAGCUCUGGGCUAUUUGCUUCCCUUUAAGGGGGCUUUGUGUUCCCUAGAAUGGGCACACUGGGGUUUCUCCUCUGGAGAAGAUCCCCGCUGUGGGGAAGGAAACUGAAGUCCGGCACAAGCCAGGACUGCUGGGCGUCCCCUGUGUAGUUAACAACGAGUAUGGACGCACCGAGGAAGUGAGAGCGCCAACACGCGCCAAUGCGGAGAGCGUGUCUAUGGACAGGUGUUAGGAGCGAUCUGGCUCUACCCAAAGUAGUUGUUAAAAAUAGUGAAACAGACACCCAACUGUGGGUGUGGGUAGGAAGCAUAGCCCCAGGUGUAUUUAAGAAAAGAAAAGUAAAAGGAGUUCCCUGGCGGCUCAGGGGGUGAAGGAUCUGGUGUCGUCAUUGAUGUGGCUCAGGUCACUGCUGUGGUAUGGGUUCAAGGCCUGGCCCUGGAAUUUACAUAUAUACAUGUCAUGGGAAUGGCCAACAAAAAACCAAAAAAGCCCAGAUGUGUGGAACAGUCAUUGGUCCUGGGCUGAAUGGUGCCUUCGUGUGUAUCUGCCUAUGGUCGGAAAUGAAUUAGACGCGUAAAUAAAAUACAGGACGAAAUCAGAGCAGACCAAGUGGGAACCAUCCAAGAUAAGGUUUUACGAAUUACAGAGUAAGAUGAACACGCUUAUGUAGAAUCGUGGACUGUUUAGAGCAACAAAACCAAAGUUCUCACCUCUGGGAAUAAGAAGCAUCGUUUUAUUGUGUGUUGGAGCUGAGUUCAUGUGUGUUCCCUGUAUUUAAAAAAAAAAAAGUAAAAACGAGAAAAGGGACAAGUAGGAAACAAAGAGGAGAUUACAUCUGGAAUCAAAGCUAAUUAUGGCUUCAGUUCUGAGCCCAUUAGGAAAAAGAUCUGGGCUGGUCCUUCUGUGAGGAGAGCAGCAGAGAGACAGAUGCUUGUCAUGGUCAUUAGUCUUGUUUCUGAUUAGGGUGGUGAAUUCAUGCAUGUUGAUUGUAAUAAAUAACAUGAUUAAACGAAAAAAUAUGCCCAGUGAGCGCUGUGCCUGGGCCGGCAGUGAGUCUGUGUCUUGAAGCAAAGGUUGUGAUUUAUCCUGGGUUGCGCAGCCGUUGGCUGUUAGCAAACAUCUAGGUUGAUUCAUCCUUUUUAACAUCUGCCUUGUGUCCCACAGAACGGAGGCCCCAGAGUGGGUCCCCUGACAUGCCGCUGGUGAAGACCGUGGCCGUGACCUCUGUGGGAAACGAGCCAUGGACCAACCAACGUUAUUACAGAAUAUUGAGUCGAUCUCCUUGUGCUAUACAGAAAGAUUCAAAAAGGACCAAGAAUGGCGAUGGGGAGUGUGGAGUUGCAUGAAGACUAUUGGCUGAUCCUUGUGCCACCAGCGAGGUCCCCUGUAGAAAGAUUCUAUUAGGUCUGAGAGAAAUGAACAAAAAUCACAGAUUCAACAUACCCAAUCUGAUUGAUUCAGUGAUGAAGCUGUCAGCUGUCAGUAUCCGUGGAUACACAGCCAAGGGACUCACGGUAUAGGAUGAAGAUGAUUUUUAUCUCAAAUGAUUCUGUAAAAGAGGGCAGACGCUGAAGAGUAUGGCGCCUAUGAGGUGGAGGAAGAUUAAUGACUGAUCCUGUUCCACCCUCCUGAGGGCCAUAUAACAAGAUGGGACCUAGUUUCUCCCUGCUUCGAUUAAGUACAUGGAGAUAUGCCAGAUGCCGUACUGACUCCCCUCUUCCACUGUGACAGUCAGAGAUACCUUGACAUCGGCAAGUGACCGCUGGGGGCAGUGUUGCCCCCACUGAGAAGCAUCAGGAAUGACCCCAGGACAGCACAUUUACUCAUUUUCUAAGGAACAAAAUCUUAGCAGUUAGCUCUGUGGCUUAAGAACAGAGAGGAAUUUAAUGCUAACACAGCAAGCUGAUCUGAUCCUUCUCUGACUGGGAAGACCCUGACUAUUCUGGGACUUAGGAGAUUAAAGGCCAAGGUGAGGAAGCAUCAGUGUUGGUGUUAUUACACCUGCUUUACCAUAAGGACAAAUCAGGCAAAAGGCAGAAGAGCAGGUGGACGCUAAUGAGUGAACAGAGAAUGGCUGAUUUAAUCAUUUAAUAAAGAAUUGCUAUCAUGAGCGAGCAGCAUAAAGUCUAAUAUAAAGUGAAGACACUGUCGCAUUUGGUCGUUAGCCUGUGAUGGAGACCUUGACCUUUGCCUCUCCGGAUAAAGAGAGAAGCGCUCGCUGGUGACGAUGGUGGCCAUGGCUUCCGUGGGUAAAUCGAGGAACAAAAAGGAUGCUGUUCUUGGGUCAGUGAUGACAGUGAGACUUGACUCGACUUCAUGAUUAACCUAGCACCUCCAACUGAUGUCCUUUAAGUCAGUCUGGACCCUUUGUCCUUCUGAACGUUGCUCCACAGAAUGAAGGUCACGGCUGAUUGCAUCCGUCUGUUCUGAGGAAGAUCUUGGCUGUUACCUUUCUGGAAUGGAUGUGCAAUGAUUCAAUUAAAGACUAUAGAACUUACAGUGGGUGCUCCAGGUCAAUGUAAGCAUCUUCAAGAGUCCUGCUCUCUCUGGCCGCCUCAACGUGUCCGGAACAUGGAGACUGAUAAUCAACGCCUCAGCUGAUUUCAGCUUCUGCCACGAUCAAGACUGUCCUGUUGCCUCCGUUUUGUAAAAGACCAAGACUGGACUCAGCGAGAUGACUGGAAAAUUCUCUCAUGGUCACGUUCUCCAGUUGCCUCCACGUCUGGGCGUAUAGAGACCAGAAAAGAGCACUGAACUCACCCAAGCCACCACGUUCAGGACGUCAAGGCAGCAUCUCUGUCCAGAACCAUCAAGUCCAAUGGUGGAUGCUCUCAAGCCGGUGCAGAUAUUGCCCGUGGCUUCUCCCGUGUGUGAAGAGCUAGCGAGGAAGAACUGAUGCACCUGAACCGAUUAAGCAUUUGGCCAUCACAGGAGCUGCACUGGUGGUCCUGUGUGCAAAAUGGAUCCUCUAAGCUGAUUUCGACUUCUGUGAUUAAGGUUGUCACGUUGCCUCCGUGUUGGGAAAGAGACAAAGGUUUUCUGGAAGGAUUCCUUCAUUGAUAACGAUGUAAGCUGUUUUCAUGGGAAGGGAAGAACAAGUUGGUGCUAGUGAAUGAACUGGAGUGGUGUUAUCCUUCUGCCCUGGCUCUGAACUCUGUGUCAGGAGCCAAGAGACCAAUAGUGGACCUGCCUGAAGGGGUUUAGCGCCUUCCAUGAUGACAAGCUCUUUGGCGGCAUCUACACAGCAUAAGCGGGGAGACCUGGUGUGCACCCGCCGGACCCGAAGGCAGGCUCCUUCCUGGAUGAGCAGGCGAGGAUGGCAGCGUUGUCUCUGGAUCCAGAAGGCCAGUGGUGGAAGCCGAAGGCCAGGCCAGGCUCCAUGGGGCCGAGACCCCUCCUCUGGCGGUGGUGGCAGGAGAGAUCCCAAGGGGCUGGAGACCUUCAGGGGCCAGGGACCUCCGUCGUCAAUGUUUGGGUCCCGGCCGGGAUGGACUUGGGUGAUGGAGAAGCCUGGUCCAGUGACUCUUCAGUGGGAAGACCGGGGCGCAGGGAAGAAGGUGUCACGAGACCGGCCUGGUGGAUGCAGCAGGCAGCCGCCAGGCCCGAAGGCCGGCUCCUUCCUGGAUGAGCAGGCGAGGAUGGCAGCGUUGUCUUUGGAGCCAGGGGACCAGUGGUGGAAGCCGAAGGCCAGGCCAGGCUGCGUGGGGCCGAGACCCCUCCUCUGGCGGUGGUGGCAGGAGAGAGCCCAAGGUGAGUCAUGGCCCCAUGCUGCUGUCUCAGUUUGGGUCAUUGGGAUAAGGGUUUUCAUUGUCUUCUUACAAAGUAGUAAAUGUAAUCAAAGUUUAACUAUGGUCUAUUGA